CACCUUCCCUACCGCCCGGUUAUUGCCUAUAUAUAGGGUGCCGGGUUCGCCCGGCUAUGGUGAUAAACGUCUUUCGCAAUAAACGAUGCGGACCCGGGGGCGGUACCCGGCGCCUCCACCAAUUUUCCGGCCACGAGCGGCACGAUUUUGGGGGCGAAAUAGGAUCGACGCGCGCGUAAAGGUUUGACUUUCACCCGGCAUGGUACCGUCGUUAUCGGGCCACUACUAUAGGUGCCAACGACAAUGUUGAGCCCAUCGCUGUUGCCGCUUAAUAAGCGUCGAUAAGCGCGGUUCGGGGGGCACCGGGCAACAGAAGCCCCCCACU
rnacentral:tmRNA from 1 species